UCUCUUUCCGUUUACUGCAUUUAAUGAUACACAGAAAAGCUUGUUGCUUUCUUCUUUCCUCUAAUGUUUCUGUUAGCCUUGUUGGGUUGAUGUCGUUCAACACACUGCUGCUUCUGCUCCUGCUGCUUAGUUAGGCAUUUUAGCUUUGCAGAUAAAGUGCAGAAAGUUGUACAGCUGUAAAAGGCCGCCUUCUUGUCUGGAUUAGCACUGCACACAAAGUGAUAUUGGGAAAAUGAAAAAAUUGGAGUGGUUUGUCCCCAUUUACUCAUGCCUUAAAGAAUAUUGUAAUAAUUACAUUACAGCUAAGGCUUUUGGACAGUGAAUCAAAGAGCUUUACUUUGACGAUCCAGAAGGAAAGAUAGAAGCUCCACCAAAUCACUAAAAUCAGAUCUUAUGAUAUAAGGACUCUCACACCUACCAUUUCAGUCAGAUUUUAGAAACAUUUAACCAAGGUACAGUUUUUCUGAGUACACAAUUUAUAUAUAUCAGCUAGAUCACAAAAAGUGUUCAAUCACUAAUGUUUAAGUCAAAAAACAUGAUAUAAUGUUCAAUUUGGCAGAAAAACAGAUAUUGGCUUGAUAACUCUCUCAAGAAGUUAUCAACAUAUAUGCAUGCAUAUAAUCAUCAUAAAAAACUAAUGUAGAUAAUGAUCAUUUCCCUGUUCCUGGUUGAUUUAGUGGUUCAUCAUGUUUUAAACUUGGAAGUGCACUUUUCUAGUCAUUUAACCUCACUGUUGUUAGGAAGUAAUUUAGAUGUUAUACUGAACUUGUGAUAGGUAUUUAUUUCAAUGAAAUUAUACAUGUUGAAUAAAAUAAAGUAUUGAAGGGUGUGGGAUUGAAAAAACAGAAGGCAAAAUCACCUUCACAUUAAUGGUAAAUUAAUAAUCUGGCUCCCUGUAUUUAAAUUUUACUGAGCAUAGUUGGCUGUUAUAAGGGUGGCUUCAUUCACUCUCUUAUAUAUAAAUAUGAACAAUUUGGAAUGUCAUGCACUAUAUCAACAUACAUAAUGUAUUAGUUGAGUUUCUGGUCAUGCAUUAUUAAUUUUUAGUACAUUGUUACAAUACUUACAUUAAAUAAAGUACUUCCAUUAAUUUAUUAUUUAUAUCAUUUUAU